rnacentral:rRNA from 1 species
CAUGCAAGUCGAACGAGAGAGAAGGAGCUUGCUUCUUCGAUCGAGUGGCGAACGGGUGAGUAACGCGUGAGGAACCUGCCUCAAAGAGGGGGACAACAGUUGGAAACGACUGCUAAUACCGCAUAAGCCCACGGGUCGGCAUCGACCUGAGGGAAAAGGAGCAAUCCGCUUUGAGAUGGCCUCGCGUCCGAUUAGCUAGUUGGUGAGGUAAUGGCCCACCAAGGCGACGAUCGGUAGCCGGACUGAGAGGUUGAACGGCCACAUUGGGACUGAGACACGGCCCAGACUCCUACGGGAGGCAGCAGUGGGGAAUAUUGCACAAUGGGGGAAACCCUGAUGCAGCGACGCCGCGUGGAGGAAGAAGGUCUUCGGAUUGUAAACUCCUGUUGUUGAGGAAGAUAAUGACGGUACUCAACAAGGAAGUGACGGCUAACUACGUGCCAGCAGCCGCGGUAAAACGUAGGUCACAAGCGUUGUCCGGAAUUACUGGGUGUAAAGGGAGCGCAGGCGGGAAGACAAGUUGGAAGUGAAAUCUAUGGGCUCAACCCAUAAACUGCUUUCAAAACUGUUUUUCUUGAGUAGUGCAGAGGUAGGCGGAAUUCCCGGUGUAGCGGUGGAAUGCGUAGAUAUCGGGAGGAACACCAGUGGCGAAGGCGGCCUACUGGGCACCAACUGACGCUGAGGCUCGAAAGUGUGGGUAGCAAACAGGAUUAGAUACCCUGGUAGUCCACACCGUAAACGAUGAUUACUAGGUGUUGGAGGAUUGACCCCUUCAGUGCCGCAGUUAACACAAUAAGUAAUCCACCUGGGGAGUACGACCGCAAGGUUGAAACUCAAAGGAAUUGACGGGG